GACGAACGCUGGCGGCGUGCCUAAUACAUGCAAGUCGAACGCAUUUUCUUUCACCGUAGCUUGCUACACCGAAAGAAAAUGAGUGGCGAACGGGUGAGUAACACGUGGGUAACCUGCCCAUCAGCGGGGGAUAACACUUGGAAACAGGUGCUAAUACCGCAUAAUUCCAUUUACCGCAUGGUAGAUGGGUGAAAGGCGCUUUUGCGUCACUAAUGGAUUGACCCGCGGUGCAUUAGCUAGUUGGUGGGGUAACGGCCUACCAAGGCUGCGAUGCAUAGCCGACCUGAGAGGGUGAUCGGCCACACUGGGAAUGAGACACGGCCCAGAAUCCUACGGGAGGCAGCAGUAGGGAAUCUUCGGCAAUGGACGCAAGUCUGACCGAGCAACGCCGCGUGAGUGAAGAAGGUUUUCGGAUCGUAAAACUCUGUUGUUAGAGAAGAACAAGGAUGAGAGUGGAAAGUUCAUCCCUUGACGGUAUCUAACCAGAAAGCCACGGCUAACUACGUG
rnacentral:rRNA from 1 species